UGGACAUCCAUAAGGUUGCCCAGAUUGAAGUGGCACAUCGGUUUUUGCUGUGCCCAGUGGUGGGUUCAACUGGUAGGUAUAAACCAGCCAGAAGUGAUCCCUGCUGGGUAUUGUUUUAUUUUGCUCACAAUAAACUAGAGAACAUUAUGAUAUAUUAACUCUUCAAUAUUUAAAUACAUUUUUUAUCAAACUCAUGCAAACUAAUUGUAAGAAGUGUGUCUAGGAAUGACAAAUAAGUAAUAAAAAAGAAAUUUCAAGAUAGUCAAAUCACAAAAAAUGUUCUAAAUUUGUAGAAUAACCAAAUUCUAAAAUGUACCAAAUUGUUUCUAUUAAAAAAAUUAUUGUAUUAAAAAAUUUCUUGUAAAUACACUACAAAUAAUAUGUGAUAAUUAUGAAUUUGUUAACUAGGAAAUGUACUUUUUUUAAUUCAUAAAACACUAAAACAUAAAAGUACUAUAGAGGUUUAUUAUAUAGUAAAAUUUAGAUAACAAAAUAUGGCCUACAACGAGCGCAUUUGAGAUAAUUGUUACCUGGUUUUUAUAUAGUGUCAACUUAAGGAUGUCCUUAGGGUUGAUGAAGUGUUCCGGUGAAAGGCCUUUAGUAGUAUGUAUGUAAAACUAUAAAGUUAAAAUGAAAUGAAAAAAUAAAAUUUAUAACUAUCAAAUAUAUUGCUCAGAAAUUUCACACGAAAUUUUGAUUAACUUAGUAUCACCAAAUAACACUUUUGAAAUUACUAGCAGGAGAAAAGAAAGUCUAAUCUGGAUCUUCUUGCCCUUUAUAUGUUUCUUUCACAUUCUAAAGACCCUAUAAUUGGGCUCCAAUCUGAAAUGUUCUUUUUGCAACCCACAGUUACAUCUCGGACACUAUUUGAAGCCAUCUUGCAGCGCACAAUACAGAGCUUCUUUGACUUGUUCGAAAUAAGUGUGAUGUUGUGCCGAGACACCACAAAUUGUGUGAAGUUCGAGAGGUAGUUGUGGUUGGUUCUGUUUCACCAACCAAACACCAUAUUAUUUGACCAGUUAACUUACCCCUUGUUGCAUAGCUGCUUACAUUGGUGUGUUACACACAGAUAUCAAACAAGUUUAAUAUUUUUUUCAAUAUGUCUUGGUUGGUCUAGUGGAGGGCAGGUGGUAGAGAGACAUAUUCCUUUUAACUCCUUCCCCACAAAUCUCUUGUACUUGUUCAAGAUCAUGGGAGUUUAGAACAUUUUUCUGUGCAGCUUCGAAUACCACGGACAUUAGGUACACGAAUUUCCUACUAAGUUUCUCUUUGAAACCAAGUACAAAGACCUUUUCUCGCCUUGUCUAUGGUAAACAAACAGGCUAUAUGACAUCAAACAUUGGAUCAGUCAGCGUUUAUCACAGGUUUUUUGAGUUUUAAUUUAUAAUGCUUUUCAAAAAGAUCUUUAGGAAUGUACUGCUCAGUACUGUGAAUAAUUUUACUCGUAGUUUGUGAUAUGAUGGGAAAGAGUAAGUUUUUGACUUGACAAUACAGAGCUUCUUUGACUUGUUCGAAAUAAGUGUGAUGUUGUGCCGAGACACCACACUUACCACUAUUGCUCAAUGAUCUUUGCUGAAUAAUAUUUGUCUUUCAAGCGAUGAUACUGAGAAACUCGGACAGAAACAGUUUGAAGUACUCAUUUGGUUUCUGCUCGUUAGGACAAUCUCAAGGAUUUCUGACUGUAAACUCCACAUUCAGAUCCAGCUCGGGAAUACCCACAUUGAAUUGAACACCCACUCUGAGGGGCUGAUACCAUGUUAUAGUCCUCCUCACUAGCCAAGUCUUACAUGCCUCAUUGAUAUGCCUGAAGGCUAUCUCUUGGAAUUCAAUGAUCUAAGCACCUUGGUUCAGGAGGAAGGCACAGAGAUAAAUAACUGUCAUUAUCAAUGUUUAGAAUAAUAUUUAACAUUACUACAUGAUGAAAAGAUGGCCUCUACUCCACUAUUCUAUUCCAUGUCACUGAUGUCCAAGUCAGCUAAUAUUCUCUCGAGUCAUCUGACUUGUCAAAAAUAUUUGUGACUUGGUAGUAGCUGUUACAGAUUUAUGAUAUUAUCUUUAAUUUGUUAUAGUCAUAAAAUAUGAUUAUGAACAUCUAACUGCCUAAUGAAAGUAAUAUUAGAUGUAGAUUUCACUAGACUAUGCCAUUAUUAACAAAUCACUUUACUAUAAUGUGCAAUAUAUUAGUAGAACCACAUGUACCAUAACACACUCUUGUCCACUCAUUAUAACCUAAUUAAUAAAGAUAGAUCAGUAAACACAAUAUGUUUACCUCAAAAUAAUAACUAAUGCACAUAAACAACAACAAGUACUGUUAAUACAAUGUUGAGAUAUUUAUAAUGAACAACUCUUCAUCACUGUUUUUCAGUGUUUGUCACGUACAUCACAAUUUACCUAGAGGAAUAAUUGAAAACAUCACAUUAUUCAGCAUUUGAUAAUGUUAAAAAUCCUUUCAGUUGUUAAUUCUGUUGGUAGAGGAGACAGGCAAUUUCCCUAAGGUGGUUGUAUCCCAGAAACUUUCUUUGUUUCUUCUUCAAUCUGUGCUAGUUUGCUGCUUUGUAUAUUUGAUCGAAAUCAAAUUUUCCCCUUGGUGUUGAAAUGAAUUCCUCAUUGGUGAAUGAAAUGUCUUUUGGUUUUGUUCGCUUCUACUAUUUAAGUUCAAAUACUUUCCACUAAAUUUCUUGAGAUGAGAAAAAUGAUUUGUUAUUGCCAUUUUGCCUUGGUACUUCUUGAAUAUGGCGUUAUUAUAUUUUGGUUUGUUAUAAUCAUUUCAUCUACAUUUUUAAGUUAAGUUAAUUUUCUUUCAAACAUGUUAAAAUAUUCUAAUUGAAACUAUUUAAAGCUUUAAGAAUUAAAUUUUAAAUUAUCAAUAUUUGUCUUAAAAGUUUAUUGCCAAUUAAAAUAAGUGCUCUUAUGUGGAUAAUAUUGUUAAUGUAUUGUAAAUAUUAAUAUCAUUUGUUGAUUAAUGUAAAUUAUAGUUAGAGCUAGUUUAAAUAUAUAUGUAUUUUUUGUUGUAAGUAGUUGUUUUUCAACAGUAUUUUCAAUGUUAAUGGUUAUACAACUCAAUGAGCAGAAUGGUUUAUAAAUUAUUGCUUUGCUACAUACAUAUUUAUUAUUAUUGUAAAUAUAUUAGAGAACAGAUUUUUAUCAAAAAAUGUUAGUAUAUGUUAGCUUUGUGAAUUAUAUAAGUUGAAUGAAUAAAUUUGUAUAAAUAUAA